UCCAGACUCCUACGGGAGGCAGCAGUGGGGAAUAUUGCACAAUGGGGGGAACCCUGAUGCAGCGACGCCGCGUGGGUGAAGGAGCACCUCGGUGCGUAAAGCCCUAUCGGCAGGGAAGAAACAGACGGUACCUGACUAAGAAGCCCCGGCUAACUACGUGCCAGCAGCCGCGGUAAUACGUAGGGGGCAAGCGUUAUCCGGAUUCACUGGGUGUAAAGGGAGCGUAGACGGCGACGCAAGUCUGGAGUGAAAGCCCGGGGCCCAACCCCGGGACUGCUUUGGGAACUGUUUUGCUGGAGUAUGGGAGGGGUAAGCGGAAUUCCUGGUGUAGCGGUGAAAUGCGUAGAUAUCAGGAGGAACACCGGUGGCGAAGGCGGCCUGCUGGACUGCGACUGACGUUGAGGCCCGAAAGCGUGGGGAGCAAACAGGAUUAGAUACCCCGGUAUG
rnacentral:rRNA from 1 species